rnacentral:lncRNA from 1 species
GGGAGACCGUGGGCGGAGGUGAUACAACCUGACUGAUGAUGGCUGACAAAAGAAGAAGAAAGUAGCUGAGAACCAGCAGCUGAAGAAAGCAAGAAAAUAUGAGUGAAGUCACAAAUGUCACCAAGGAAAGGAAGAACAGAAAAAUAACUUGAAUAUUCAAGAUGGGCAGCCUAGUUCAACGACACAUCAAGCCUUGUGAAAAGGUGACUCCGAGGAGUUUACCUUCGGGCAGCUCAUACACCAGCUGACAAUCUGUCCUCACCCCGAGACGGCAAGCCAAGCUCAGGUGUGUUACGGCUCCACCAGAAAAAGAUUAUUUGCCUUCUUUCCCUCGGUGAACAGCUGAAGCCAAAACGCAGCCCCUGGCACUCCAGCUGUACUCCGUCACAAGGCAGGGCCAGGAAGGUUCUAAUUCUUGCUUCCCAGAUCACACACUUUACAACUGAAGAGCGUCUCGGUUUUGCUCUUGAUCCUACUUUAACCUUUGCCAGCUCCUAGUCCUUUACUAAAGCAUUGAAAACUGUAAAAAGCCUCCUCAGUUCAAAUGCCCAUAAGC